UUACAUAUUGUAUGUGAUUCGAAUAAUCGAAAAUGUUCUGGAACAAAAUGACAAAAGAAGAUCGAAAUUCGGGCUAUAUAAGGAAGUCAGAUCCGACCCGGGGAGUCUUACGUUGGAAUAUGAACUGUGAAGGAGACAAUGUAGUGAAUUCCUCUUACUAAAAGUCGCGAAUAAUUUAAAGAAGAAUUAACAAAAUGUUUUAACUCUAUCUCAAUGCUCGUAACAUUGUUACAUGUUAAAAUAGAAUCGGUACCAUUUAUGAAGAUGUAACGACAGAUGUAUUAGGUCUUAUGGGAACUUGGCAGUGGCUUGUGACGGUGUUACUAACCGUGCUCAUGAUGCCCGCAAUGUUAAACCAAUACGAAGAUAUGUUUCUAUUGAAACCGACUAAUGACAUAAAAUGUGAAUUGCCAGAGAUCCAUGAUAUUGCCAACUCAAGUUUAUGUUCUUUCUCAAUCUUAAAUAACAUCACAGAAGAAGUUAAGUGUCACAAAUGGCGUAUAAAACUUUUAGGAUUAAUUUGGCUUAAGAAAUCGUGGCUUAUAUUCUGCGAUGACAAGUUUAAAUUAUUAUCAACGACAAUAAUUUGCCGAUUGGGUUUUGUUUUCGGAUGCGUUAUUUUCGGCUUGAUUUCUGAUAGCUUUGGACGAAAAAGAGUAAUAGCCGUAAACAUUAUCGCUGAAUCAUUUUUUGGGUUAAUCUUAACGUUUUGUGACUCCGAGGCAUGGUUUCAUCUUCUAAUAUUCUUAAGAUCUCUAUUCGCAAGUGGUUAUUUCUACACGGGAAUUGUUUUGAUUUGUGAAAUAGCAAGCAACAGUUGGCGAACAUAUCUGAUCAUGAUAGUUACUCUGCCGAGGGUGUUCGCGAUCGCAUACAUUGUGCCCUUGGCCAACAGUUUGCCAAACUUGGAAACAUUCAACUUUAUGGCGUGUGUAUUCUGUCUUGUAUGCAUCGCUCCUCUGAGAUGGCUACCUGAAUCACCACAAUGGCUUUUGUACAGUCGGAAAAUAUUCUUAGCUGAAAAAAUUCUAUUCAAAGCAGCUUUGAAGAAUAAAAUAAAAUUAUGCAGCGAUUUUAAAAUAAGACCAGUAAAUCACAAAGCCUACAACUGUCUAGAUGAAAGCAGGACAUGUAUAAGCAUUCUCUAUACAUACAAUACAAGGAUAAUUGUUGUAUUUUCAUUAAUAUUUUGGACCGUGUACAAUUUUUUGUGGAGCUUUUUGUACGUGAAGACGAAUAGUGAUGGCCGAAUGCUAUACAUUGAAGUGUUAGUGUUCUUUGGGAUUCUAGAAUGCCUAACCAUAAUCCUUUUGAAGAAGUUUAAAUUAAAACAUAUCUUGUUGAUAAACGUCACAAUUAUGGGCACUUUGACGACAGGCAUUCUUAUUUAUAACCGGUUUCAAAUAAAGGAUACAAAUAUUGAUUUUAUACAUACCGCUGCACUGAGCACAGGCAUGAUGGGACAUGCUAUACUUCUUAACAUAACGCCACGUCUUUUUGCCAUCAACGUUAGAGCGACAAUCUUCGGUUUCUGUCAUUCUUCGGGGCAACUCGGCACUAUCAUGUGUUACUUACUCUACCUACUUGAUCUCGAUGACCAUAAAUCACUGAUAUUCGUUCAUAUCGGAGCAACUUUUAUAUUAACAGCGUUAUCCUAUGUGAUACCUGAUGUUGACGGAAGAGAACUCCCCGAUAUUGUUGAAGAUAUGGACUACUUUUCUGAAUUAUCAAAACCUCUGCGUUGGGUAACACAAAAGACGAACUCACCAUCACAAGAGGAGGUGGAAAUGAGAAUAUAUUCAUUCGGGAGUGCAGUCAGAAAUCCAUCCGUCAACAGUCAUUCUGCAGAAAGUGUUCCAGCUCGGGACAUCGGUUUUAAAAAUUUAUGGCAAUCUUUUAUUUCGUCCGUGCGACAUAGAUUGCGGUGAAAAUACUGACAGGCGCUCAUAUUCCACAGUUUCUAAGCGGAGGCCUUCAACCUGCUCGUCUGAAAUGCCACGAGCGACAAGUACGUGACAGCGCUUAACAUUCUGUUCUCAACGCAAAUCGAUCCGUGCGAGCGGCAGACCUCGCUGCUUUAUCAAAGACGAUACCAACUAUGUGUACCCUGCUGUUAAUAUACCUUUCUGUCGCACACGGAGCGCAGACAAAAAAUGAAAGAACAAAAACUUCAUUUCGUCUCAAUUUUACAUGUUAGUUUUACCUGUGGCCUGACCCGGUCUUUUAAACAUGAAUUAUGAAUUUACUUACUUAAAUUAAACAAAACGAAAUGUUGGAAAAUAAAUAACUAGUUAUAAUUAAACGAUUUUUUUAAUUAUAGUUACGAUAGGCCUAGAUUUAGUCUAGAUUUAAUUCCAAUCCUACAUAAAGUGUUCAAAUAUCUCUUCAUCAGACUCGAUGACUCUUAGUCAUAAUUUGACUAAUUCCCAAUUUUGUAAACUUAAAUUACUUUAGUAAUCCCUUUUAUUGAACCUAUU